rnacentral:rRNA from 1 species
CGGACGGGUGAGUAACACGUGGAUAACCUACCUAUAAGACUGGGAUAACUUCGGGAAACCGGAGCUAAUACCGGAUAAUAUAUUGAACCGCAUGGUUCAAUGGUGAAAGACGGUUUUGCUGUCACUUAUAGAUGGAUCCGCGCCGCAUUAGCUAGUUGGUAAGGUAACGGCUUACCAAGGCAACGAUGCGUAGCCGACCUGAGAGGGUGAUCGGCCACACUGGAACUGAGACACGGUCCAGACUCCUACGGGAGGCAGCAGUG